GACGAACGCUGGCGGCGUGCUUAACACAUGCAAGUCGAACGGAAAGGCCCUGCUUUUGUGGGGUGCUCGAGUGGCGAACGGGUGAGUAACACGUGAGUAACCUGCCCUUGACUUUGGGAUAACUUCAGGAAACUGGGGCUAAUACCGGAUAGGAGCUCCUGCUGCAUGGUGGGGGUUGGAAAGUUUCGGCGGUUGGGGAUGGACUCGCGGCUUAUCAGCUUGUUGGUGGGGUAGUGGCUUACCAAGGCUUUGACGGGUAGCCGGCCUGAGAGGGUGACCGGCCACAUUGGGACUGAGAUACGGCCCAGACUCCUACGGGAGGCAGCAGUGGGGAAUAUUGCACAAUGGGGGGAAGCCUGAUGCAGCAACGCCGCGUGGGGGAUGACGGCCUUGGGGUGGUAAACCGCUUUCGCCUGUGACGAAGCGUGAGGGACGGUAAUGGGUAAAGGAGCACCGGCUAACUAC
rnacentral:rRNA from 1 species